CAUGCAAGUCGAACGAGAAGCUCUUCGGAGCAGUAAAGUGGCAAACGGGUGAGGAAUGCAUGGGUAACCUACCCUUGAGAAGGGAAUAACCCGCCGAAAGGUGAGCUAAUACCCUAUACGCUUCUUGUCUUAUGGGAUGAGAUGGAAAGCUAAGCCGUGGGUUUGGCACUCAAGGAGGGGCUCAUGUCCUAUCAGCUUGUUGGUAGGGUAACGGCCUACCAAGGCAACGACGGGUAGCUGGUCUGAGAGGAUGAUCAGCCACACUGGCACUGAGAUACGGGCCAGACUCCUACGGGAGGCAGCAGUGAGGAAUAUUGCGCAAUGGGCGAAAGCCUGACGCAGCGACGCCGCGUGGGGGAUGAAGGUUCUCGGAUUGUAAACCCCUUUCGUGAGGGAAGAUAAAGUGGGUAACCACCUAGACGGUACCUCAAGAAGAAGCCACGGCUAACUUCGUGCCAGCAGCCGCGGUAAUACGAAGGUGGCGAGCGUUGUUCGGAUUUACUGGGCGUAAAGAGCACGUAGGCGGUUGGGUAAGCCUCUUGGGAAAUCUCCCGGCUUAACCGGGAAAGGUCGAGGGGAACUACUCAGCUAGAGGGCGGG
rnacentral:rRNA from 1 species